AGAACCAUCUGCUACUCUGCUUUCCUGGUACGCAGACGAACAAGGAAGAAAGGGGGGAUUCAGAAGCUUGAUAGGAGAAGGGUUCCGUUUUACUGGUUCUGUUGUUCCGAUGCUCGAAGCCGUGAUGGCCGUUGUUCCUAUUGAGAGGCUUGCUGUUCAUUUUCAUGACACUUAUGGCCAAUCUCUGGCAAAUAUUUUGAUAUCUCUCCAAUGUUGCUGCCUCUUCCAUGGCUACUCUGAAACAACCAACAAAAAGAGUUGUAGCUAUCAUAGCUGAAUGUGUUCCAGAAUCAGAUAUAAAGCAGCUGAUUGCCAGUGAUUUCCCUC